rnacentral:lncRNA from 1 species
AGAUCUUUUCACAUUACUAAUGGGCGUCAGUAAAUGUUUUGAUCACCUGUCGGCAAAACCCUCGUAUAAUAGGUAAGGACGGUCCCUAUCUAUUGUUAUUCUGACGCAUGUAUAGAUAACGCAAAUCCGCUCAGCUGCAGCGCGGUCACUUAGCAGGUGGCCUCCGUUCGCAAGCUCGUGAUUCCCGCGCUCUGAUGUAGUAGCUGUACAUCGUCAGGCAUGAAUAACAUCGAUAUAAAUAUGAGCCAAUAAGGUGUGUACAGAGUAUGGUAGGUGCGGCAGCUACGUGGUACAUUGCGCAAUGUACCACGCAUGCGUGCAUUGAUGACCCUUUCAAAUCGCCCACCGCGCGCUGUAAACAUGUUUUGUUAAGUCAGUAUUGUAUGUACUGUAUAUCGAGUGGAAGAGAACUCAAUCUGCAUGCUUUGGGACUCUCAUAAUAGCUGUCUUCCUGAU